UCCUCAGUAGCUCAAUCGGCAGAGCAUUCGGCUGUUAACCGAAGGGUUCCUGGUUCGAGUCCAGGCUGAGGAGCCA
rnacentral:tRNA from 1 species